UACGAAGGGGGCUAGCGUUGUUCGGAAUUACUGGGCGUAAAGCGCACGUAGGCGGAUACUUAAGUUAGGGGUGAAAUCCCGGGGCUCAACCCCGGAACUGCCUUUAAUACUGGGUAUCUCGAGUUCGAGAGAGGUGAGUGGAAUUCCGAGUGUAGAGGUGAAAUUCGUAGAUAUUCGGAGGAACACCAGUGGCGAAGGCGGCUCACUGGCUCGAUACUGACGCUGAGGUGCGAAAGCGUGGGGAGCAAACGGG
rnacentral:rRNA from 1 species